UACGUAGGGCGCAAGCGUUAUCCGGAAUUAUUGGGCGUAAAGAGCUCGUAGGCGGUUUGUCGCGUCUGCUGUGAAAGCCCGGGGCUCAACCCCGGGUCUGCAGUGGGUACGGGCAGACUAGAGUGCAGUAGGGGAGACUGGAAUUCCUGGUGUAGCGGUGAAAUGCGCAGAUAUCAGGAGGAACACCGGUGGCGAAGGCGGGUCUCUGGGCCGAUACUGACACUGAGGAGCGAAAGCGUGGGGAGCGAACAGG
rnacentral:rRNA from 1 species